AUGACCCCUGCGGAUUUGACCCUACCUACACGCGGAGCCAAUCCCCUAGCGGUCCUGCCACCACGCCGCAGAACAGGAGCUCGUGUGGAACCUUGGAUUUCUGGCGUAACAGCGGUGGAAGGUAUCAAAAUAUUAUGGACGCAUAACCAUAACAUAGUAUAUACGCUAAGGUCGGCCAAAAUAUGGACACCCGAAGGGCCCGGCGCGCACAAUCCUAUCAUAUUAUGGAUUUUGCAACCCCUGAACGCCAGUGCUUCUACAACCAAUGGAUACUAUUUAACAUAA
rnacentral:rRNA from 1 species